rnacentral:piRNA from 1 species
UCCAGAAGUCCAGGUGAAAGAUGAGCCUC